rnacentral:lncRNA from 1 species
CACACAUAUAUAUUUAUUAUUAUUAUUUUUUUUUUGAAAUAAAGCCCCAUAAUUUUAGGAUUUGUUAUUUAAAUGGAAUCUGGAAAGCAAUUAAUCCCCACAUGAAAGUAGGAAUCCUUUCGGAAUAAAGCACAGAAAUCACUAGCGAAUUAUCCUAAAUUAGAACUUAUUUGCAGAUCCCUCCAUCCCGUAAUAGCCUCUAACAGAUGGUGUAUAUGCUCUGAUAGUCUAAUUCCUGAUUUUUGAAGUAAUGACUAAUGAAUCAGUGAUUCAACUUUAAGAUGAGAAAUUGAGAAUUGUUCUCCGAUCCAGACAUCCAGUUCAAAACCCAUAUCCUCAAAUUUACAAAUUAAUAUCAAGUUAGACAUUAAAUUAAGGACCGAAUACUGUGCCGAGAAGGAAUUGGGGAAGAUCAGGAACUCACAAUUCACAAAAGGUUUGCUAAUUGCUUAACCUCAAAACCGAUAGUGUGACACGAGACGAGAAGGAAAGUUUGUUGCGGAGUACGGGCUGCUUGCUGGACUAGAGUGCUACUUGCCUGCUCUUCUCAAAUCUCACGGUGGUGGACCUGGCAGUGCCGUCUGUAGCGUCUGCUGGCUGCUGCGAGCGCUGCCCUUUGCAGUAGUGGCGGUAGAGGUAGACUGGUGGGCGGUGGCGUUUUGGGGAAUGAUCUGGGACUCUGUUUCUGGGUACAUGGAGAAGCUCA